rnacentral:rRNA from 1 species
CCUACGGGUGGCAGCAGUGAGGAAUAUUGGUCAAUGGACGCAAGUCUGAACCAGCCAUGCCGCGUGCAGGAAGACGGCUCUAUGAGUUGUAAACUGCUUUUGUACGAGGGUAAACGCAGAUACGCGUAUCUGUCUGCAAGUAUCGUACGAAUAAAGAUCGGCUAACUCCGUGCCAGCAGCCGCGGUAAUACGGAGGAUUCAAGCGUUAUCCGGAUUUAUUGGGUUUAAAGGGUGCGUAGGCGGUCGGAUAAGUUAGAGGUGAAAUCCCGAGGCUCAACUUCGGAAUUGCCUCUGAGACUGUUCGGCUAGAGAGUAGUUGCGGUAGGCGGAAUGUAUGGUGUAGCGGUGAAAUGCUUAGAGAUCAUACAGAACACCGAUUGCGAAGGCAGCUUACCAAGCUACUUCUGACGUUGAGGCACGAAAGCGUGGGGAGCAAACAGGAUUAGAUACCCUAGUAGUC